rnacentral:rRNA from 1 species
UACGUAGGGACCGAGCGUUGUCCGGAAUCAUUGGGCGUAAAGAGCGUGUAGGCGGCCACUUAAGUCCUGCGUGAAAUCUUGCGGCUCAACCGCAAGCGGUCGUGGGAGCUGGGUGGCUAGAGUGCGGGAGAGGAGAGUGGAAUUCCUGGUGUAGCGGUGGAAUGCGCAGAUAUCAGGAAGAACACCCGUGGCGAAGGCGGCUCUCUGGAACGCAACUGACGCUGAGACGCGAAAGCGUGGGGAGCAAACAGG